rnacentral:pre_miRNA from 1 species
CAAUGUAUUACUGGGCAAUUACUCUUUUGGCAGUUGGCCACUCGACUGCAAGUUAAAUUGCAAGGAAGUAAGCUCACUGCCAAAGGAGAUUUGCCCCGCAAUUCAUCU